UACGGGGGGGGCAAGCGUUGUUCGGAAUUACUGGGCGUAAAGGGCUCGUAGGCGGCCAACUAAGUCCGACGUGAAAUCCCAAGGCUUAACCUUGGAACUGCGUCGGAUACUGGAUGGCUUGAAUUCGGGAGAGGGAUGCAGAAUUCCAGGUGUAGCGGUGAAAUGCGUAGAUAUCUGGAGGAAUACCGGUGGCGAAGGCGGCAUCCUGGGACCGACAUUGACGCUGAGGAGCGAAAGCUAGGGGAGCAAACGGG
rnacentral:rRNA from 1 species